UUCACAGGCAGGAGCCGGCUCCGAUCGUUCAUUUCAAAGAGCCGGCACCGAGAGCCGUUUCGUUCGCGACCGACACAUCACUACAAGCCAGCCGACCCACAGCGGCGAGCUUAGACCUGCGGGGAAACAAAGCCAAACAACCCCGGAACGACACUGUCUUUGCCGUAACCCGAAUGGCUACCGUCUUACGCCUCGCCAGUUAGGAACUUCCCCUUACUUCCGGGUCCUAAGCCUAAUAUCCCGUGCCGCUCCUUCGCCUCCCCACAGCCGUCAUCUGCGUCGCAUUCCCACUGCUCCUACCUCCCCAGACGCUACGGCUGCGCGCUCGCCGUCCCUCUAUUGAUACCGCGGACCCGUGACUUGUAGCCUGGUACCUCGGCUCACUCACGUCCGCUCUCCGCUUGGGAAAGCACGCAUCGCCCCACUGACGCGUUUUUAAAAACCGCCGAAAUUACCUUCCGUCCCCGGACCGCGCUCCUGAUCACUUGAUGUGGCCGUUUUUAAAACCCGGUCAAGUCUCUGCCUCCCGCCCCCCAAUCUAGCAAUCCCGCCCCUCAAUUGCCACCGGGGGACGCCGCAAGCUCCCCAAAGCUUUCGCGGCACUGCCGAAAGGAGAAGGAAGAAAAAAAACAAACCAUAACCAAACCCAUAAAUCAGAAUUCCCCCUUCCCCUCACCGGGGACACAACACUAACACAAACACAGAAUGAGAAAAAUAUUUUAAAACAUUGUUUAUAUAGAACAGAUUCCCCAGAGCUGUCAGUGGACAAACAGGAGGUGACGGGUGUGGAAGGAGACAGUGUCACUGUUCAGUGUCGCUAUACAUACGAUUAUGGUCAGAGGCUGUGGUGUAAGUUUGGGAGCUUCUGUGUAUCAGAGGGAUCUGUGAGUUUGGAUGGGAGGCCUGUCCUGAUCAGGGAUGACAGAGUAAAUAAAGUCUUCAGUGUGACAAUGAGGGCACUGGAGAGGAAGGACACUGGCUGGUAUUGGUGUGAUGAUGAAUCCCAUCAGAUCCCAGUUCAUAUUACUGUCAGUCAGACAGCUACAACCACAACCAGCACUGAACAUGGAGGGAAUAAUGAUAAACUGAGGUGGGAGCAGGUUCUGGGUGCUGUACUGAAAGCUGGGACUGGUGUGUUUUAUCUGAUUUGCACCAUCAUCGCCAUUCAGCUGCACUGGAGCUCCUGUAGAAAGAGGGGAUCCAAUCAGAGAGAAGCAGAGGGAGGGGCCAAUAUAAAGCAUGGGUCUGAAUAAAUAUACAAGCUUAUUAAUACACUAAUGUACAUUAGUGUAACUAAAUGAACAAACUUCAAGGCUGUAUGGUCUAGUGGGGACCUUUGCAGCCACUGAAUUGUACUGCUGAUGGCCACUUCUUCGCAAGAUCUUUUCUGCCAACUGUUGGUUAAAUUCAGAAUUUUGUCUUUCAUUAUGUUCAGCAUUCACUUUGCUGUCUCAACACAUAGUAGCAGCAUCUAAAAAUAACUUAAUAGUGAAAUAAGUGAACCUUAUUGCUCAUUAAUUCUGAAAUAUAAUUUUUUUUUCUGAUGUUUUUGAUAAAUGCUUUAUUGUACAUGUUGUAUUUUGCUGGUAUUGGUAAUUAUUAAAAAUGUAGAAUUUUUAAAACUAAAAGUAAAUGGUAUGUGGUUUUCAGGUCACGCCUCCCCAUCAGAGUCCAACAAUCAGUGACCCUCCCAGAGUGUGAUGUAAUGGACCAAAAAACCAGGACCGCCUACUUUGCCCUUAAAACACAGCAGCUUGUUUCAGCUGUCAGCAGCCCAUACAUAUCAGAUAAGGUGGAACAAAUGAUGUGUCAAAAAUAAAAAGAUAACAUGCACCUGUUGGUCAAAAUGAAAUGCAAACAUCCUUGCCUGAUAUAUUAUAUAUUGGUUUGUGGUUUAGCUCCCAUUAAAUGACAGUAAGUCGAACUGCUGUCUGUGGUCCUGAAAACCUGGAUCCUCAAAUUUCACAUUACAUUUCUUUAGCUGACUUAACUGUAACUCUUUUAUUCUGUUGGCAAUUUUGCUCUGUUAAGUAUAGAGAGGCAGGGAUAGAAGGGAUUACAGUGGGUUACAGGUAUAUUAAAUGAGUAAUUUUUAAUUAAGAACCAAAAGACUUUGGACAGUCAAAUCAGCUUUGGGCAGUUUAAGAUCAAAAUUAUGAUUCACUAUAUUGAUCCUGGGGGAAGUUCUGGUGCAGACAGCAGCAGGAAAAUAAUGCACAGAGGAAGAUACAUAUGAACUUGCCCAAGUGAGAGCUGAGAAAUACAGAUCAGCUCAGCAUCCGCCUAGGCACCAGCCCAAUGCCAAACCAUGAGUCCUAGUUCACCACAAAUCAAUGUUUCUGUAUCUUGAUUUAGAAACCAUGCUGGUCUAUGCUGUUGUUUUCAGAAACCCAUGCUGAAUGUCCAAGGCAAUGAUGUUUCUCAAUCUUUUUUACAAAAUCCUGUAGUGACGCCUUUAAUAUUUAUUUUAAUGACAUCAGAUUCAUUUUACAGACUGCUUGUGAUCGAUCUCCACUAGCCCCAGAUGGAAUAGUCUGAAUUUGGAUC